rnacentral:tRNA from 1 species
GCGUCGUUGGUCUAGUGGUUAGGAUAUCUGCCUUCCAUGCAGAUGGCCCGGGUUCGAUUCCCGGACGACGCA